UAUUUCGAUCAGAGUUUAUUUUAAUUUAAAAUGCGUCUGUCUUUGCAAGAGUCGGUAAAUGUUAUCAAAAUUUUUUAUGAAUGUUUUAAAAAUGGUACUAUAGCUGCAAGGCUGUAUGCUCAACGUUUUUCUCAAAACCGGCGUCUGAGUAGAGGCAUAUUUCUUCAUUUGGCCCGUCGUUUUCGGACAACAGGUAGUGUAGUGCAUCCAACCCCUACUGUAGACAAGGUCGCAGGAGAACGGAGGAAAACAUAAUAAAUUGUUUGGCCUAUGUAGAAUUUGAUCCGCACAAGCAUCAGAACUAUUUCAGGCGAUUUAGGCAUACCUCGUUCUGUAGUUCACAGAAUUUUGCAGGAACACAGAUUUCAUCCAUUCCAUACAGUACUCCACCAGGCAUUAAAUCUAGAAGACUAUGACAGAAGACUAGAUGAUUGUCAUUGGAUGGAGAAUAUGUUGCUCGAAAAUCCAAAUUUUCUUAACGAAAUUUUAUGGACAGACGAAGCAACGUUCAAUAGUGACGGAGGAAUUAACAAACAUAAUAUGCACUAUUGGUCUGAAACUAACCCUCGUUGAAUGCGCGAGAUCCAGCAUCAGGGAAGGUGGAGUGUUAAUGUCUGGUGCGGUGUAAUAGGAUCUCAGGUUAUAGGUCCAUUUUUAUUUGAUGAGAGCCUAACUGGAGAACGAUAUCUUGGAUUUUUAAGAAAUGAGCUCCCAGCAUUAUUAGAAGAGGUGCCUCUGGUUAUAAGAGCCAACAUGUUUUUACAACAUGACGGAUGCCCGGCUCAUUUCGCGGUACAAGUGCGAACGUUCCUUAAUCAGCGGUACCCUGAUCGGUGGAUUGGCAGAGGUAGCUUUUUCCCUUGGCCGGCAAGAUCGUCAGAUUUAACCUGCCUUGACUUUUAUUUAUGGGGUAGAAUAAAAGCCAUUGUAUUUUCUUCGAUUCCUACCAAUAGAGAAAAUAUGAAACAGCGAAUAAGGGGCGCUAUUCGGAGUUUACCAGCCGCAGAAAUAGAGGCAGCCGUGGAAUCAACCCGACGAAGAGUUCAAAAUUGUAUAGAACAAGACGGACGACAAUUCGAACACCUCGGCAGGUAUUAGAUUAGUGUAGGGAUUAAAAUAAUAUUAUUUUUUAUUCCAUUUAAAAUAAGCAAGAUUUGUAUCUUUUUUCAGUUUAAUCGGUACCAAGUGCCAAAACUAUCAAAAAAUUUUUGUCGUGUUACAAUGACGCGUCAACAUUGAUCAAUAUUUAAAACGUUCCUUUGCAUAGUUUUCCUAGUUUUCCCAUAAACAUUGAUUUAUUACCUGAUUUAUUAUCAAUGAAACUUCCUGUAUAAAGAAGUGUAUAAAUAAACGCCACCUUCCGGAAUUUCUACAAAGCUGGUAUACCAAGAUUGUUUCUCUACACAAAGAUUCAUUUAGACACCAAUUUUUUUAACCCGUCUGGUAAAU